AUUGAACGCUGGCGGCAGGCCUAACACAUGCAAGUCGAGCGGUUGAGGUAGCUUGCUACCGAUGCAGCGGUGAACGGGUGAGUAAUACAUGGGAAUCUGCCUGGUAGUGGGGGACAACGUCUCGAAAGGGACGCUAAUACCGCAUACGCCCUACGGGGGAAAGGGGGGGAUCUUCGGACCUCUCGCUAUCCGAUGAGCCCAUGUCAUAUUAGCUAGCUGGUAGGGUAAAGGCCUACCAAGGCGACGAUCUGUAACUAGUCUGAGAGGAUGAUCGUUCACAAUGGAACUGGGACAGGGUCCAGACUCCUACGGGAGGGAGCAGUAGGAAAUGUAGGGAAAUGGGGGCAAGCCUGAUAAAGGCAUGCCGCGUGUGUGAAGAAGGCCUUAGGGUUGUAAAGCACUUUCAGUAGGGAGAAAGGUUAUUCACCUAAUACGUGAGUAAAUUGAUGUUACCCACAGAAGAAGCACCGGCUAACUCCGUGCCAGCAGCCGCGGUAA
rnacentral:rRNA from 1 species